UAUUCAUCCCAUGCGGGAAGGAUGAGAAGCUUCGACUAAGGUUCGAUUCGAGCGAAGCGAGAAAGCGUUGCCGCAGGCAACGACCCGAAGGGCGAGGCGCAACGCGCCGAGUAAUCCUUCCACCACCCUCA
rnacentral:sRNA from 4 species